CCUCCUCUUCUAAAUUUUUAAAGAGAUCUUACUUUGAAAUCUUUUCCUGUCAUAAAAUGACGAAUGUAUAUGGAAAUUCUAAAUCAAUUAUAAAACAUAGUGACAUUCUUUAAUUUUUCAUACGAUCGUAAGAAAUGUCGUGAGCGUCAAGUUUCGGAAACAUAAGGAACAAAGUGUAUGUAUAUUCCUUUUGUGAACAUUCUUUCUAAUUGAAAUGUCACGGCUGAUUAACCAACAAUUCGAAGAAGGCGCGUAGAAACAGAAAAGCGUGGUGUCGAUGAAAUCUUAGAUCAAACCUCCACAUCGAAGUAAAGUACCUUUCUACAACUUCUCUUAUGAUGUAUAACUGAAUAUUUUCAACGAAAUAUUAUUAUGAAUAUGGAAACUCGUCGAAGCUAUACCGAAUGAACUUGAAGAUAUUUUUGUAAAAUCUUCUAACUUAAAAAGGAACGAAAGUGUCGAUUUCGUUCUUGAAAGGCGAUUUAUCAGCGAAUUAACGCGCACUCCAGUAACAGGGGCGACAAAAAUCUUUAUCCGUUCCUGAAUGGAACAGAACACACCGACUGUAGAGAGAUAUCACUUUCCCGGCUUUCUUGGUGCCACGCCCGAUCGUACCGUACUUUUAUGCGAACUUGAACGAAACGCGUGUUCUUCGCGACGCAUACUAAUUGACGAAGGCAGAAAAAUACGGCCAGUUCUAAAAUUUCACACGAAAUCACGAUCGACGGGUAGAAUCGUGUUUAGUUAAAUUUUAUGCCUCUCAUUAAGAGGAGAAAUCGGAGGUAUCAACAUAAAAACAAUUUAAAUGAUAAUUAAUUGGAACAAUGGAGAAAUUAGACUAAUAAUACGUGUAAUACGAGACUUGUAAAUUAUCGGCUAACCUUUUAGCAAAUUAUAGAGCUUACUAUCUCCACCAUUUUCUAGAUGGCUCUUUGAGAAACUACUUCGAAAACUUUGAAAACCUACUUCUGACAGUUUAGGAUGACUAUCGUUAAAUACGUCUUUUAGUUAUCGCGAUACACUUCAAGUACCAUUUUGAAUCAUUUGAACGAGUCAAAGCGUUCUUCUUUGACGGUUUGGCGACUAUAAGCAGAGUGACAGAAAUUGGAAACCUGUAAUUUCUCUCUUGUAAGAAAGCAACAAAUUUGACGAAGUUUACAAAAUCGAAGGAACCAAGGUACCACUACGAUCGAGUCAUUCAAAGUCGAAAUUGAACGAGGAAAUUAAUCGUUUGAUUGCAUCAUCGUACCGAUUCGCAUACACCGUAAAUUCCCUGCUAAUAUUUCUAACUCACAGUCGAGUACAACUUGAAAAAACGAUCGUUUUCUGCUACGCGUUCGUGAAUUCAGACGUGUAACAGACACGUGUUCUAUUCGCAUACCAGCGACAGAACAAGACUAUUUCCAGCUUGCUAUAAUUUGUUCUUGCACAAUGUUUUAUUUUAACCUACACAAUAUCUUUUUUUAAUAAUCAGUGUUGUCUAAAAAUAUAAAAAUACACAAAAUUUGCUUCCUUAAUAGCAAGCUAUUUAUUGAUAUUUUGUACUUUGUCGGUCCUCUUAAGUUGAAACAAAGAAUGUUCUUUAUGUUUCUUCAUGAAAAUCGUCUAAAGAUGGCAAACAUAUUUCAUCCACAGACGUCUGUUCUGAUAGUCAUUUCUCAUGAUUUAUCGUAAAUGUAUUUGCAUUAACAGAUUAAUAGUUUGAUAAAUUCCUCGGAUGUUCCUCGUUUGAUCGUUUUGAAUAUUUGUUGUAACGAUGAACGAGGAGAUAUUUUCAAAAAUAUUAUAUCGAUAACUUUCUCUGUGGUUACUUAUCAAGAAUUUUUAAGUACAAGACUUGUAAUCUUACAUGCUCAUUAUAUCUAUCAGGAUUCUCAUCCAAAUCAUUUAAAAGUUCUUUACAUUUUUCUAAUAUCUUCAUCCUGUCGAUUAAGAUAUUUUCUCUAGUUCGUUCAGCUAAUUCUGACCCCUCGUGUAUAGCUACAGUUUCGAUAAAUUGACUAUUUAACUUUUCCGUUAAAUCCCUCACUUUCUUUUGCAAUCAUUGAUUUUUUUGUCACAACUUCUUGGUGCACAAGUGGAUAAGAAACCUGAAUUUCAUGAUCUAUUAAAGCAAGUUCCAAUUCUUGUACUGGUUCAGUUAAUCGAUUUACUUCUGAAACUCGUCGGUCUUGAUUUAUUACACGUUUAUUCCUUAUUUUACAUACUCUGUCUGUGCAUCUCAACGCAAUAAAAGUUUCAUUCAUAUUGUAAUCUGAAGGUACUUCAAACGAAACAUGAAUUAUCUUCAACAUUAAUAUUGAAUACGAAUGUAAGAUGGGAAAUCCUUCCAUACUCAAAUACCAAGAUCGUGGAAUACAAAUAGCCGCGACGUCGACGUAGUGAAUAACAUAGUGAACGCCAAGAGUCCGGGUGGGUUCGAUUGCCUGGUACACCAUAGUCUGUAUCGUAUUUUCCACGAUAAAUACUACGAUACGAUACAAUAAUAAUAACCUGCUGAACUAAUGCAAAAUCACUUUCUUGAUUGAGUUAAGAUAUAGAACAGUCCUGACAAAUUAGUAAAAAAAUGCAAGUAACCACGAACGCAAAUUAUAGAAGAGAUAAUUAACAUGAUUCAUUUACGUUAGUAGCAACAACAGCAAAGUUUGCUGUAGUUGGAUUUGUAAUAUAUUUCUGAAUGUAGUUAAAGAGAAAGAAAUAAUACAGAUCGAGCUAAAUCUACUUAGAGUAAGUUUUGCUGUUGUGGCUUUUCUGCUGAAUUAUGUUAAUAGAAAAGAAAAAAAUAUUACAAUAUAUUAUAAAUAAAUGUUAUUUUUUAAUUUCUAGAUAUAUUGCUUACAGAACAUUCCUUUUACAUUGAUGUAUGCAUAGAGCGAAUAUCGCAUGACUUUGUUAUACUGUUCAUUCAUUUUGGUAGCACCUGUUGCACAAAGAUCUUUGUGUUUACUGUUUCCAUCGCAUUUGUAACUUCUUUUUUUAUAAAUCCAGCGAUCUUCAUAUUUUUAC